ACAUUGCUUCAUCAAGAUAUUCUGAAAUUGCAAAACAGAGAACAACAAAACCUAUAAACAUUGCAACGAUAAUAAAUAAGGAAACCAAACUUAAUUUAUCAAAACACAAUUCUGAUAGUGCUGCCAGAAACUUAUUCCUACUUUCCUAGUAAUGAAAUGUCAUACUAAACAAAUAAACCCCGGAAACCAUAAGCCAAGCAAUUUGGUUCCUCCAUGUGUAGUCAUGCAAGUUCCCUCAUGCACAGUCCUUC
rnacentral:misc_RNA from 1 species